UACAGAGGGUGCAAGCGUUAAUCGGAAUUACUGGGCGUAAAGCGCGCGUAGGUGGUUUGUUAAGUUGGAUGUGAAAUCCCCGGGCUCAACCUGGGAAUGGCAUUUGGGACUGCAAGGCUGGAGUACGGCAGAGGAGACUGGAAUUCCUGGUGUAGCAGUGAAAUGCGUAGAUAUCAGGAGGAAUACCGAUGGCGAAGGCAGGUCUCUGGGCUGAUACUGACGCUCAUGCACGAAAGCGUGGGGAGCAAACAGG
rnacentral:rRNA from 1 species